UACGUAGGGGGCAAGCGUUGUCCGGAUUUACUGGGCGUAAAGAGCGUGUAGGCGGCCAAACAGGUCCGUUGUGAAAACUGGAGGCUUAACCUCCAGACGUCGACGGAAACCGUGUGGCUAGAGUCCGGAAGAGGAGAGUGGAAUUCCUGGUGUAGCGGUGAAAUGCGCAGAUAUCAGGAAGAACACCAAUGGCGAAGGCAGCUCUCUGGGACGGUACUGACGCUGAUGCACGAAGGCCAGGGGAGCAAACGGG
rnacentral:rRNA from 1 species